rnacentral:rRNA from 1 species
AACGAACGCUGGUGGCGUGCUUAACACAUGCAAGUCGUACGAUGAAGCCGCUUCGGUGGUGGAUUAGUGGCGAACGGGUGAGUAACACGUGAGCAACCUGCCUUUGGCUCAGGGAUAACCUUCGGAAACGGAGGCUAAUACCUGGUGUGUCCUCUGCCUGCAUGGGUGGGGGUGGAUAGGCUCUCCCGUUUUGGGGGGGUUGGCCGGAGAUGGGCUCGCGGCCUAUCAGCUUGNGGUGGGGUGAUGGCCUACCAAGGCGUCGACGGGUAGCC